rnacentral:rRNA from 1 species
AUUGAACGCUGGCGGCAGGCCUAACACAUGCAAGUCGAGCGAGCGGCGGACGGGUGAGUAAUGUAUGGGGAUCUGCCCGAUAGAGGGGGAUAACUACUGGAAACGGUAGCUAAUACCGCAUACCAUCAGAUGAACCCAUAUGGGAUUAGCUUGUAGGGGAGGUAACGGCUCACCUAGGCGACGAUCCAUAGCUGGUCUGAGAGGAUGAUCAGCCACACUGGGACGGAGACACGGCCCAGACUCCUACGGGAGGCAGCAGUGGGGAAUAUUGCACAAUGGACGAAAGCCUGAUGCAGCCAUGCCGCGUGUAUGAAGAAGGCCUUCGGGUUGUAAAGUACUUUGAGUAGGGAGGCGUUACCCGAAGAAGAAGCACCGGCUAACUCCGUGCCAGCAGCCGCGGUAAUUC